GGGACCUGGCAGAGCAGGACGCACCCUGGAGGGGAAGUCACGAGCUCCCAGUUCUAAGCUGGCCUGGGAACCUCACUUCCUGUGUGACCUCAGACCAGUCGCUCCCCCUCUCUGAGCCUCCGACUGCCGCACGGGAGGAGGAGGUUGAAGUAGAUCAGCUGCAUGGGAGCUUGCGACAGAAACAGAUUCUCAGGCCCACCCCAAAUUUCCUGAUCAGAACUAGGGGAGAGUGCAGCCUGGUGACACCCACAGAAAAAGGGCAAAGGGUUAUCUCAGGGGUCACCAGCCAGUGAGGAAGCAGCGGCCAAGUCCCCUGGUCACACGUCACCUACCAGGAACACAGCCAGGACCCAGGAGGGGACAGAGGAGGCCAGAAGCUGACAGUUCACAGCCCAGGCAGCCUGGGAGAGUCUUGUUUUUAUCGAAUGAAUGAAUGCACGGAUAUGUUGGUUAAUUAAUUAAUUGAUUGACUAAUCUUUCUUACUCCAGAGAGCACAGGGCCUGGGGACACAUAUCCAUAAUAUAUGCUCAGUGAAUAGCUGUCAAACGGAAGGAAGAAAGGCGAGCUGGAAGGAAUUUCAAAAUUGUGUCCUGCCUGGAAAGAUCCUUCUCAUUGAUGCGUCUGGUCACAUGUUUAUCCCUAUAAGCCGCCUUGGAGCAGUCUGGGAGCGAGGGAGGUUGCGAACAAGGCGACCGGCAGAAAGACGGCAGGAGAAGCGAAGUGCGGUGGACAGAGCACCUACGCCCGGCCGCCGGGCCAGAUGCGUUGUGACAUUCCCGCGCUGGCUUCUCGCUAGAGUCCCGCCAGGUUCCUGCCAGCUUUGCCGCUGCCUGGCUGGGCGACCUUGGCGAGGAAGUCGCCUCAACUGUGAGUUUUUGUUCCCUUGGCUGCAGAAUGGAGCUAUGUGGGCUGCUAUCGUCAGGAGCAUUUUGUGAGCUAACGUCUAAAAUGCCUGCCCGGCACAUAGUAGGCGCACAAUAAAGAGUGGUUUGCAUAAAGAACUACACGCCCUACCGGACACAUAGUAGGUCCUCAACAAAUGUCAGCUUCCUCGUCUGCACCGUGAGACUGUUGGUGGUUGUGAGGUUCCGAUAAGCUGCAAGUGGCAAAAAGGUUUUUGCAAACUGAAAACUCUUGUGCCCACCUGGAGACAAUUUUCCUUUCUCCCUCCAUCCUGGGUUCCGGGCGCCCGAGCAAACCCAGGCACAGGUCUGUCUGCAGACUCCGGUUCCUGAGCUAGCACCUCCGGGCACACCCCCCCUGAGAGCACAGGUACCUACCAGAGCGACAGCUGGGCCCUUGUUAACAAGGUGUCUGCAGACCUUGUUUGGAAUACGUCAGCUACUGUGAUUAAAGACAGUACAUAAAUGUCAGCCUCGCCGGGACCCAGCCCCAGCUGGUUUCCAGGAAAGGAAACCUGAAAAACAUGUCUUCAUUCCUUCCGUUUUACAGCUUAGGCCAUCUAAGGCUUGUGCAGAAUAUGGAAACUGAGGGCCAGCGAGGCUAAGUUGGCCAAAGCCAACUGGCCAAAGCCUCCUGCUAGUACAAGGCAGAGCUGGAACAUGGACUGGCACAGUCUGGCACCCACGCUGUUCUCUUGAAGUCUCCAUGAUGAAGAGCACCACUCAGUGAGCACCUACCACGGCAGAAGGCUGUGAGCUAGCGCCUUUACAGAAGGAUCUUGUCAAAGCAACAGCAUCCCUGCGAGGAAGGUGUUCUGUUGGUCAUGUUUCACAGAUAAGGACACGAAGUCCCGGAGAGGUGAAGCGCCCGCCGCGGCUCACAGCUAGAAUGGAAUGGGGCUGAGCUGGGAUUCUGACCGGGGGCCAGGCCCCUGCACGCCUCCAGGCUGGGCAGGACCCCUCCCCAGAAACCCUGCGUGGGGGCUAAAGCAACUGUCGGGAGACAGGACACAGCGACGCCAGUGUAGGAGGCAGAAGUCCGCCAGGCCCCCACUCCAGGCCGUGGCUGGGUGGCGGGAGACGCCACGAAGGAGGUUUGGGGGCUUCGAAGGGCUGCGGUGAGGUCCCCACUGCGUCAGGGCCGUGAGGGCGGGUCCUUUAGCUGAGCGCCCGCCUUGUCCUAGGCACCAGGCCCAGCGCUUGGUGCUCCUUGUCACUGAGUUCUUCCCUGUGACGUAGGCGCCGCUGUUAUCAUCCCCAUUUCAUGGAUGAGGAGACUGAGGCUCCGACCAGCGGAGUCCCUAGACCAGGGUCACACGCUUAGCAGGAGCCACACUCAGGUCCCUGUGUCUCAAGGCCAGUGCGCCCCAACGGGCCGCCCGUUCCCUCCCAGGGCCAAAGUGCUCAAGCCCUCCAGACCCCGCGGCCCAGGACGUGGCGCAGAGCUCUGUCUCGGGGCCCUUAAAGGGUUAACGCCCCUGUGGCCCCUGGUGCGUCCCUGUCGGCCCCUGCCCUCACCCCUGCCUCACGAGGACCAGACCAGCUCCUUGCUCCAGGCAGCCGGCGAGUUCUCUGCUCGGCAGUCCACGCUCCAGAUAUUAAAUUACUCGUAAAUAUUUGGCCUGUCCCCAAAGUGGCUGCCACUGCCUCCCCGUGCCCACCGCUCACUGCCCAACAUAAGGUCACGCCCUCGGUGGGGGAGGGGUCCUCGGAAAAUGAACCCAACUUCACCUUGGGGGACCCGGAAGGAGGAGGCCCUGGUGGGGCUGGGAUCUUCCAUGGGAGAGGGUCCUGUCUGCACCCCCCGCCCCCCGUUCUGGGGCCCCAGGCCCGGCCCGGGCUGAGGAAUAUUCUCCCACAUCCCAGCGCUGCAGGGUACGGAGAGCCCAAGACCACUCCGGCCCCACGUCCCUCGGGAUAAGGCCAAGGGUGACCUGCAAUGGCUUUUCACAUUGUCUGAGGGGCCGGUGGUCUCUCUCCUCCUCCUCCCGCCCCUACUCGGUUGCCAUGGCAACCACAGUGGGGGGUGGGAGGCUGGACCGCUCAGCUCCUGGCCAGGCUACCCAGCAUGCUCUGCUUUCACCCAGUUUUCUCCCUCGCUGCCCCUUGGCACGCAGGGGGCGGGGCGGAUCCUGCCCUUUUGCCAGUCCACAGAGGGCUCACACCCAAGGGCCAUCACUUCCUUCAGGUAGCAGGUCCCCUGCCUUCAGGUAGCAGGUGUCCUGCCCAGCCCCGGGAACGGGGCUUUUACGAGCGUGGUUUAUCAGAGAGUGAUGGGGGGCUCUCUCUCUCAAGCCCCCUGGAGUUAAUGAAGUCAGUUAAGCCCUGGGAUUAGAAGGUCGGGGUCAUGGGUACAGCCCUUGUUUGCAGAGUAACACCCCAGCCCGCCCCGAGCUCCCACCAGCUGUUUCAGAAAUGCCUAGCGCUGGUCGUCUAGGGAACUGAUGAGGGCGUCUGGACAGGACGUGGCAACCUCAUCCUGAGCGGCCACAGUGGCGUCCCUCGGAGCACACGCCCUGCAGCCUGGGCAUCGGGGGCCUCGGUUCCCUCCUCCCGUCGGGUAGGGGACUCGUUUUUAUGAUAGUAGGGCCUGUACUAGUAAGUCCUUACCACCCUGGCCUGCAGUUUCGUAAAUUUGAUACUGAAAGAAACUGGGUUUAGCCUUUGUCUCGGCUCAGCUUGGGGCACACUGCCACCAGGUGGCGGCAGUCCCUGCCCAGGUGCACGGUUUUCCUGAGAUGCCAGAGACGAUUUUCCAGUUUACGCCUCACCACCACAACCUGUAAAAGGCCAUUGCUUCUUCCCUUUUAAGAUUACAGGACUUUAUAAAUAGCCAAAGUUAAGCAGGCUGUAGACAAACUCUGCAUCUUGGAGUGUAGCACAGCGGACAGACGGCACAGACGCUGGAGCCAAACUGCCUGAGUUCAAAUCCUGGCUCGGCCACCUGCUAGCUGUUUAGCCUUUGGCAAGUUAGUCUCUCCAUGCCUCAGUGUCUCUCUCUGCAACAUGGAGAGGGUACAAAGUGUCUAGCCCACAGGCUUGUUUGGAGGACAUGAUGAGUUAGUGCACACGCGUUUAGAACGGAGCACACAGCAGUCAGCUCUUUAAAAAUGCUGCUUAUCAAUAUUUAAAGAUGAUGCAUAAGAGCAAAGUUUCUAAAAUAAUUUGUAUUCCGAGAUUCACGGACAUCUCUUUGUCUACUCAGUCUUAUCUGGCGUUUCUAAUCUGGUGAUUUGUUUCAGGGCUGCACUGCCAGACACUCCCACCUGCCCAGGUGUCUCCUCCGGCUCCUCAGCCCCACACUCAAGGCCGUGGCCUAGCGCCCUCACCUCCUAGUGUCUGUGAGAUCAUCCCCUGCACUCCACAUGCACUGCCUCCCUGGUCGCGCUCCUGAACUGCUGCAACUGUCCCCUGCCUCUUCUGCUCCCCUCUGACCCAAUCUCCUCCCCACA